GGGGGUAACGGCCCACCAAACCGAGGAUGGAUAGGGGUUCUGAGAGGAAGGUCCCCCACAUUGAAAGUGAGACACGGUCCAAACUCCUACGGGAGGCAGCAGUGAGGAAUAUUGGUCAAUGGGCGAGAGCCUGAACCAGCCAAGUAGCGUGAAGGAUGACUGCCCUAUGGGUUGUAAACUUCUUUUAUGCGGGAAUAACAAGCGGCACGUGUGCCGUUCUGCAUGUACCGUAUGAAUAAGCAUCGGCUAACUCCGUGCCAGCAGCCGCGGUAAUACGGAGGAUGCGAGCGUUAUCCGGAUUUAUUGGGUUUAAAGGGAGCGCAGACGGGUCUUUAAGUCAGUUGUGAAAGUUUGCGGCUCAACCGUAAAAUUGCAGUUGAUACUGGAGACCUUGAGUGCGGUAUAGGCAGGCGGAAUUCGUGGUGUAGCGGUGAAAUGCUUAGAUAUCACGAAGAACUCCGAUUG
rnacentral:rRNA from 1 species